rnacentral:misc_RNA from 1 species
GUGAAUCAUCAAAUUUUUGAACGCAAAUUGCACUCUCUUCUGUGAGUAUGCCCGUUUGAGGGUCAGCCUAAAAAAAAUCGACAUCGAUGCUGUUUCGCGGUGGCGUUCGUCGGAAACUGGGUUAUCUUAAUUCUUUGGUUUAAGCGACUUAAAAUUUUCUUUACGAUUCCAUGAACGUUUUCAAGAUUUAUUUCUUUACACGUUUAAGGUAUCGAUUCUAUUAGGCGUGUUCGUGACA